AAUUGCUCCUUCCAAUUCGUUGAAGAAUUGAGUUGGAAUUUUGAUGGGGAUUGCAUUGAAUCUGUAGAUUGCUUUUGGCAAGAUAGCCAUUUUUACAAUGUUGAUCCUGCCAAUCCAUGAGCAUGGGAGAUCUUUCCAUCUUCUGAGAUCUUCCUUAAUUUCUUUCUUCAGAGAUUUGAAGUUUUUAUCAUACAGAUCUUUCACUUCCUUAGUUAGAGUCACGCCAAGAUAUUUUAUAUUAUUUGUGACUAUUGAGAAGGGUGUUGUUUCCCUAAUUUCUUUCUCAGCCUGUUUAUUCUUUGUAUAGAGAAAGGCCAUUGACUUGUUUGAGUUUAUUUUAUAUCCAGCUACUUCACCGAAGCUGUUUAUCAGGUUUAGGAGUUCUCUGGUAAGUGAUGCUUUUUAAGAGCUCAUUUUCCUAGAUACCUUGGAGAAGAGGUGACAGGAAAUACAAAAGAAAAAGUGAAAUCCUAGGUGGAAUGCCCCAUAUUCCAGCAGAGUCCAUCCUGCUUACUGCCAGUAGUCCAGAAUAGCUAGAGCUGCUUUUCAUAAACCAAGAAACCAUGAUUUUUGAUGAAUCUUUAAAAUUCUGAUCAGGUAAGCAAGCAUGCCUAAAAACUAGUGUUCUUUCCCAUCAGCCUGUGACCUCUGUGCACUUGAGCUGUUCCAAGUCCUCAGCACUAUGUAGGGAGAGUGAGAAGGAUCCUGAAGCUGCUUUAUCUGUAGCUUCUGCAAGAUGGGUUCUGAUUUUCAGCCAAUGGAACAGGAGCUAACAUGGAAACUGGAAAAGAGAGACUUUGACCUUGAGGAGCCUAUCAAAGCAGACUAGAACUGGCAUCAAGUAUAUGGCAGGUGAUGUGUAGCCUGGACUAUCAAGCAAAGGAUUUAGACAGGAGAGAUCCCAGUUUCUAGGACCCUGUCAAACUUUUUUUUUUUUUUUUAUGUUAAGCCAGUAAGGUAGCAUCCUCCAUGGGACAAGGUGGUUCCUUAUUCUUAAAAGCGUAAAUUUUUUUCUGUGUCUACUUUAUAUAUUGGUCUGUGAUUCCUGUGACAAAUGUCCCUUUCAGAGUAAGGAGUAACAACAUUUAUGAUCAAAGGUACAGAAUUACUGAUGCUGUCCCUAAGUUCUCAUAGAGCAGGUUGGCAGCUCACAGUACAGUGGGGUCCACUUCUAAUCCUUCAGCUCCUUUUCUUAGCCAUACAGAGGAACAUCCUCACCUAGAAUCAGAACUCUACCAUUGCCUUGUCAAACAUGUCUAUGAUAUGUAUAUAUAUAUAUAUGUGUAUGUAUGUAUAUAAAAACUCCUUUUCUAACACACAUACACUCAUGCAUGCACGCAUGCACACCUUUGGACAAAAAUAAUAUAUAAAAAGGAAAAAUGUUAAUGUAUGAAUAGGUCUGCUUUUAUGUUUCAGUGGUUGGCAUUGUAUAAUGUUUCACCAGGAUGGGAAUUCAUGAGCUUCUCAUGUGUUUGCCAUCCUAGAUAAGAGAUUUGUUCCCUCCUCAUUAGUACAACAUUUUGUUUAUGGGAUAGUGGAUGGAGGUCAGAGGAUGGUUUGCAGUUCUCUCUUUCUAUCAUGUGGGUCCUAAGGAUUAAAUGCAGAUCCUCACACUUGCUGUGCAUUUACCCACUGAGCAAUCCUACCAGUCCCUGGAUCUCUUUUAUAUACUACAGUUUUAAGUUCUGACUACACACUGAUUCUGUAGUCUGCCUAUAUGUACAUGACCAGUGAAGAUGCUCUUUCUGAAUUAGCUGAUGUAACAAGCACUAGGGGAGAGUGUCCUACUAAAUCCCACAUCCCCUGAGUAUCACCAUUUACACCAGGGCCUCAAGAUGCCUGUCCUUAUAACAUGAAGAUCCUGCCAUAACCUUUGACUGCUCUGAUAGCUGACCUCUUGACUACCAGGAGGGGAUGCUACAGACAAUUUUGAGAUCAUUGAGUGUGAACAUAUGUACAUCUUUCUACAUAUCCACAGUUUCUGUUGAUGACUGGUUUGGUACAUAAAGCAAUGCUUGGUUACUUUAUUGUAAUUUGCAGUUAUUUAUUCUGCUAGAUUGGAGAAUACCAAAUUGUACUCAAUAUAAGCCUGUAGGGCUUCAGUUUUAUAUUCAGACAAGU
rnacentral:lncRNA from 1 species